rnacentral:rRNA from 1 species
AGCGAACGCUGGCGGCAGGCUUAACACAUGCAAGUCGAACGGGCGUAGCAAUACGUCAGUGGCAGACGGGUGAGUAACACGUGGGAACGUACCCUUUGGUUCGGAACAACACAGGGAAACUUGUGCUAAUACCGGAUAAAGCCCUUACGGGGAAAGAUUUAUCGCCGAAGGAUCGGCCCGCGUCUGAUUAGCUUGUUGGUGAGGUAAUGGCUCACCAAGGCGACGAUCAGUAGCUGGUCUGAGAGGAUGAUCAGCCACACUGGGACUGAGACACGGCCCAGACUCCUACGGGAGGCAGCAGUGGGGAAUAUUGGACAAUGGGCGCAAGCCUGAUCCAGCCAUGCCGCGUGAGUGAUGAAGGCCAGGUUGUAAAGCUCUUUGGCGGGAAGAUAAUGACGGUA